rnacentral:rRNA from 1 species
AGCAGCCGCGGUAAUUCCAGCUCCAAUAGCGUAUAUUAAAGUUGUUGCAGUUAAAAAGCUCGUAGUUGAAUUUCGGGGUUCUACCGUUGGUCGGGCUUUGUCUGUACUGGCGUGUAGAAUUUCUACCUUCUGGGGAACCAUCAUGUUAUUAAUUUAACGUGGUGGGAAACCAGGACCUUUACCUUGAAAAAAUUAGAGUGUUCAAAGCAGGCUUAUGUCUGAAUACAUUAGCAUGGAAUAAUAAAAUAGGACGGUGGUCCUGUUUUGUUGGUUUCUGAAUCACCGUAAUGAUUAAUAGGGAUAGUUGGGGGCAUUAGUAUUCAAUUGUCAGAGGUGAAAUUCUUGGAUUUAUUGAAGACUAACUUCUGCGAAAGCAUUUGCCAAGGAUGUUUUCAUUAAUCAAGAACGAAAGUUAGGGGAUCGAAGACGAUCAGAUACCGUCGUAGUCUUAACCAUAAACUAUGCCGACUAGGGAUCGGACGAUGUUAAUUUUUAAUGACUCAUUC